GGUAAAAUGGCUGAGCUUAAGCGAUAAAUUGUAAAUUUAUUCACGAAUUUUUUUCUUUUACCA
rnacentral:tRNA from 1 species